UCCAGGUUAUCCCUGGCGGUCUCCUGCGAGUGCAGCCUUGCGGCUUAGCAACACAGGACAAGGGUUGCGCUCGUUGCGGGACUUAACCCAACAUCUCACGACACGAGCUGACGACAGCCAUGCAGCACCUCGACUCCCGUCCCUUGCGGGAAAUCCCUGUUUCCAAGGACUUUCGUGAGCCGUUCGAGCCCAGGUAAGGUUCUUCGCGUUGCGUCGAAUUGAACCACAUGCUCCACCGCUUGUGCGGGCCCCCGUCAAUUCCUUUGAGUUUCAGCCUUGCGGCCGUACUCCCCAGGCGGGGCACUUACUGCGUUAGCGACGGCACCGGGAGGGUCGCUCCCCCCGACGCCUAGUGCCCAUCGUUUACGGCGUGGACUAC
rnacentral:misc_RNA from 1 species